AAUUUGGACGAAACCAGUGAUGCUCGAAGAGCGGGUAUAUCGCCCGAGUCAGAGCCCCAGUUCCAUUCUACUCUAGACUUUGUUGUGAGGUGAAUUUGGGAGAGUGCAACCUGCGUUUGAGUAAGUACAAUUAAGCAGUGGAAAAGGUGCGGAGGAUCUGGAUUUUGUUUCCGGUGGCCAGAUUGUAUUGCGUUGGUUGGUUUGGAAGGCGUAGUUUGUCCUUUGCUCCGAAAACUUUUUUGAAUGGAGCUGGCGGAUGUUUUAGCGAAAGACAUGUCCUCGUCAUCCAGGAUAAGUCUAAUACUCGGAUUGAAGAAGGGAAAUCCGAGGAAAUUUAGGACACUGAGACGCCGGUUGUUCCUACGGAAUAAGUUCCGAAUAAUGAUUAUAUUUCAUCGGGACUUCUGUUGAGGCUGUAAGUUUGCGAGUUGCCAAAUUUAGAUGUUCUCCAGGUGUUCUAUCAAUUCUUCUCAGGCUUCCAAUCUGGACAAGUUUUAUACGGAAGAUUUGAAGUAAUGCAGCAGGCUUCUACAGUUUAACGUAUACGAGAAUUUGUUUAUCUCAUUUCUUGCACGGAGGUGCCCGUACAGAAGUUUGUUUCGGAGUUUGUUUACCUGUUUUGUUGGAUUUCUUCUGAGUUUAUCUUAGAAUUACAAGGUUUGUAUGUUUAUCGCGGAUGGCAUUUGUUGUCAACCUUUUUGUUGUGGAAGUGUCUGGAUUCGUGAUAGUGUGACCUGUUCGAAAAAGUACCUACGAAAAAUUAUCCUUAUCUAUGAUCGUCUGAUUCGAUGUUCUCGUUGAGCAUUGAACAGAGCCUCUGUCCUGCUACGGUUUGUCUUUACCAUCCAGGCAUCGACCUGAUUUCCUGUUUUUCCUUAUCAGGUAAUCUCUUAAGGAUCACUUGCGAGUAGUUUCAGUCCAUAGCGUGAAGCACGAUAAAUUUGCACUAAGAUUAGUGCCUGGUUGCUUUCUCAUCAAUAUUUUUGCUUCUGGACUCCUGUCAGUCAAGCUUUUGAUAGUUGAGAGAGCAGUGUUGCCGAUAGAGAAUGCUGUCGAUGGAAGCACUCAUCGCAAUUAUGAUCUACUUCAAAGUCAUCGUCCCUACAUAGUUGGUAAACUUCAACUUGCAGUUCAUCAUUGUCGUACAUGACUUCCAGGCGUUAAGGAAGCGGGAUUACUACGAGUUUUUAGUCACACCCUGAUACAUAAUGCUUCACACACUAGUGGUUGCUUUGUUCGAGGUGUAUUUUCAUUAUCAGAAUAGUGUAGGGUAAGAGUGGCUGUGGUGUAAAAUUUUCCAAGUUACUGGUUUAGAAGUUGCUGCUUGAAAAACACCAUGUCUCUUUUAGUACUACUUCCAGUUGCCAGUAGCAUGAGGAAGUGUGUAUUGCUACUAGUUACUGAACUUCUAAUCGAGAGUUUUUUUUCCAUUGUGAUGUAGAGAGUCGUUAUAUAUCUAAGUCAUUAUUCUUUAUAAACAAAUUACUGUUAUUAUUAUCAACUCAUUGCCCUUUAGUUUCGUUUAUGUCUGAUGUAGAAUGUAAAGUCUUUCAUAUUUGCAUAAUGGUUGGAACAUUUAUUAUCUGGUUUUAACUUUGUUUACAAAUCACAGUCUCUAACUCAAUGUGAGCAAACAUCGACGAAGUUCGUCAUGACUCGAAACUUUAGGUCAUACAGCUGUAGCUGCACAGUGCUUUUAAUCUUGCGCAGGACUUCUAAUGGAGAAUCAGAUUCAAGGUAAUGUGAUACUGAUUUUCGCAGUUAAUCAUUCAUAAAAUUCGGAAUAAAGGAGUUGCUGGAAAUGCACGGGCCACAGAAAUAUACAGGCAGGACAUCCUUAAAGAUGGCAAACGGGUAUUAUUCUGUCCCUUUGAAACGUAUAAUUUAUUUUGGACAGAGCCUGAGGAUAGACAAAUACAAGUGUCAAUUUCUGCUGUUGGAAGGUCUUGUUUUUUGUUGUUUAGUGAGAAGUGCUUUUCCAGUACGUUUCUGGGUUGAUCUUGGGCACCAACAUGGAUUCAGGAUACACGAUCAUUGCCUGAAGUGGGUAAUUUGUGAUAAUAGAAAGUGCAGGAUGAUCUAGACAAUAUCACUCGCUUUUUAAUGCUUGCUAAACAACCUAUUGUUCCAGGAACUGGUCUACCAUUAAAGGUGGGAUGGGUUUUCAUUCUUUAUAGAUACACUAACGUGAAUUUUUACUAUUGAACAAGAACCUGACACGUCAAGAAUCUUAUUGGUGUAUACCUGCAGCUGUCUAUGGCCAAGUGAUCCAUGGUUGUUGUUAGCAGAUAUGCAAUUUCUUUCUUGGGAUGACAUUGCAUGCAAACAGUCUUUUGCCUGUGCAAGUCUCAGUGUUUUCUCAACUUUUUAAGUUUGAGGUCUCCACUUUCGUGCAUAUUCAUUGCUCGAAAUUGUCUAGGUGAUUUGUCUUGACGCAGACCAGUAUUGUGCCCACAUUCUAAGAAGGACCAGGUGUUCCGUUCAAGGCACUCACUGUCUUAGCACUGCGAAGCAUCAAUCUUACGAAGAUUGAAAGUCGUCCUCAACGAAAGAUGCCUUUGCACGUGGUGGAUGAUAGUAACAAUUGACGUGCUUUCACAACCUCUUAAUUAAUACAUUUCAUGUUCUUUUCAAUCCCAACAAGGGGUCCCUCAUUUUACAAGUUUAUUUUUGUUCAACCUGUUUCAGCCACAGCUUUAGCAGUUUUGUGGUUGAGAGGCUUCAAAACUCUAUGUUCACAUAAUUGAAUAUCUGAUCAUAUUUGAAGGUAUGUACAACUUUGGGUUCAUUAAUAAAUUAUAAUUUAUGAAAUGUUACUUUCACUUGAGUGUGAGUGUUUGUAACAAAAUUGAAUAAUCUUUUUGUGUGUUCUUCUCAGAUUUGAACAUUUCUUGACAAAGUGACAAUAGGUUAACAAGGAUCAAGUUGCACAUUGACAUGGCUUUUAAGAUUUCUUAUUAUUUCUCCUGUAAUUAUUUUAAGGUUUCUUUUAAAUUUGAUUAAAGCUAGUGUUGCAUUGUUAAGAUUUAAUUAGAGUUUAUUUAAUAUUCUAUUAGACUUAAGAUUUUGUAAUAG